UGCAUCGGCCGGGAAUCGAACUCGGGCCGCCCGCGUGGCAGGCGAGCAUUUUAUUACUGAACCACCGAUGG
rnacentral:tRNA from 1 species